GAGGGUGCAGCUCAGAGGGAGAGUGCAUGCUUAGCAUGCACGAGGUCCCGGGUUCAAUCCCCAGUGCCUUCA
rnacentral:tRNA from 1 species